GUUACUUUGAUAGGUCGAAUCAACCAAUGCAACAUAAAUUACUUAAAAUGAUCGACCGGAUAAAUUAAAAAGGAAAUAAAAAAAACAGUCGUCGCUCGCCUCCGCCGCUCGUCCCCGCCGGCCACCGCCGACGCCACUCGCCCCCCUGUCGCUUCUCCGAUGCCACACAUCCUGCUCGCCGCCCGAUCCGCGUCGCCGCCGUGCCGCUCGAUCACCUCCGCCCUCGGUCCAGAUCAGACAGUCGCAGUGCGCAUCACGUGUCACCGCCAGAGACUGUUGCGGCGCCGGAGAGGAAGGACCAUGUGCGGGCCAUGGCAUUGGGCUGAUCUGUUCUAGCUUUGUUGUUGCUGGGCGGUUGCCGGCUUGUCGCCGGAGUGCCCACGGCCGACACCCAUGCGAGGUCGAGGCAGUACUGGUAGUGGGAGAUGACGACGUUCAUAUCGGCGAUGUAGCCCUUGCCGCAGAUUUGGUCGCCGUAGAUCGAGCACGUUCAUGGUGGCGCCGAACCCCGGUAGCCUCUUGGUUCUUGGUGGCCGGGCUUCCAGUUGCCAACGAAUGAACGAACACGUCGUGCGCCGACGGCUGCUUCUUCUUCAUCGGCGUCAUCCACCGCCGCAUCCCACAUUGCCGCCAUGAACGCCAUCGUCGCCUUAAGCUCAUAGCCAGGGUUCUUCCAUGAUGGUAACCGUGCAGGACUGUUUGAAGUUGAGCCUGAUUCUGGAAAACUUUUAAAUGCUGAUCUACAUAUUGGAAGCCCCAGAUCGGGUCAACAGCCCUCAAGACCAGUUCACAAAGUUUACCAGUUAUUUAUUUUCCUGACAGAAUUAAUGUUCACAAUAAUUUUGGCCAUAUAGUGAUUUUACAAAGUAUUCAGAGGCCAAAAUGACUAUUGCAAA